ensembl:lncRNA
ACUGCAGUGUAUAAGUGGUGAAUUCUUGUUAAUGGCUGGCUGAAACAAUUUCCCAAAGUCUUAGCACGAGUGCUGUGCAGUUUUUCCCCCCAACAGCUAUUGGUAAAUGGUGCGAGGAAAGGAUUACCCUCUUAUAAAAAUUCUCCCGGUCUCGUAGUAGGACAGGCUGUCCUAUUCCUGUUCAUCACAAGCUGGUGAUCGUCCCGCUGCACUCAGCCCUGGGGAGGCUGCAGUGCUGUGCUCAGCUCUGGGCCCCUCACUACAAGACCAGACACCGAGGCCCUGCAGUGUGUCCAGAGAAGGGCAUGGAGCUGUGAGGGGUCUGUAGUGGAAGUUGCAUGAGGAGCAGCUGAGGAAAUGGGUUCAGUCUGGAGAAGAGGAGGCUCAGGGGAGACCUUAUUGCUCUCUGCACCUCCCUGGAAAGAGGCUGUGUGGAGGCAGGAGUCGACCUCUGCUCCCAGCAGCUGAGGUCAAAGCCCUUAGAGGAGGGGAUGAAAUGCACCGCGUGUGACCGUGCUGCUCAGCCUCUUCUUUGCAUGUCCUGGGGCCUCCGAGCUGCUGAUCGGGCAUCU